UUUUCUUUGUUCGGAGAUUCUCAAUUUUAUUGUUUUCCUAUCAUCCCUUAUAUUAUUUAGAUUUAACUGAGGUAGGAUUAGAGUGGAGGUUGGGGCCUUGCUAGCAGUUUCAAAAUAAUUUCAAAGACUUAAAGUCAAAUCUACUAUCCUUCAUGGAUUGAUGGUACCAAAGUGUCCAUUAUAUAGAGGCUAUAUAUAGUCUGCACAUGUACAUGUAUAUGAGUGAGUUGGGGAAGUGGUUUUAUUGUGUACUUUAUGUGGUAUCUUCUUUAUUCAUUUCCUUUAGAAGUCUUCAGUAAAUAAUCUCACAAUAUCCUUGAGGAUUGUUAUCAUUAUCUUCCACACCUAGCUUACUUACACCACACUCACCCUCUUACAGUUGA